rnacentral:rRNA from 1 species
AGCGAACGCUGGCGGCAGGCUUAACACAUGCAAGUCGAACGGGCACUUCGGUGUCAGUGGCAGACGGGUGAGUAACGCGUGGGAACAUACCUCUUGGUUCGGAACAACACAGGGAAACUUGUGCUAAUACCGGAUAAGCCCUUACGGGGAAAGAUUUAUCGCCGAGAGAUUGGCCCGCGUCUGAUUAGCUAGUUGGUGUGGUAAAAGCGCACCAAGGCGACGAUCAGUAGCUGGCUGAGAGGAUGAUCAGCCACAUUGGGACUGAGACACGGCCCAAACUCCUACGGGAGGCAGCAGUGGGAAUAUUGGACAAUGGGCGCAAGCCUGAUCCAGCCAUGCCGCGUGAGUGAUGAAGGCCCUAGGGUUGUAAAGCUC